GACAGAGUUCCCGAGCGUUAGGCGGAAUCACUGGGCUUAAAGCGUGUGUAGGCGGCGGCCUAAGUACCUUGUGAAAUCCCACGGCUCACCCGUGGAACUGCUCGGUAUACUGGGUCGCUUGAGCCACUUAGGGGCUACCGGAACAAAUGGUGGAGCGGUGAAAUGCGUAGAUAUCAUUUGGAACGCCAAUGGUGAAAACAGGUAGCUGGGAGUGUGCUGACGCUGAGACACGAAAGCCAGGGGAGCAAACGGG
rnacentral:rRNA from 1 species